AAAAAGAAUUCAGCAGCAAUUUGGAACAGGAUAAUGACAGAUGAAGCUUCUCCUUAUAUACAAUAUAUGAAGAUUGACUUCAAGUCAACCCUUGACUUUCAUUGCCUCAAUGAAUUACCUCUUCAUACAUAAAGAAGAAUCAAAGUGGAAGGAAAUCAGUAAAAAAUACCUUUUCUCCAAGUCCACACCUUCUUCGGAUGCCAGUGUCUCGAUUGAUCAGCUCCAAUUUGGUUUUAACUCCAGCGGAAUGCAAAGGUAGAGCUUCAAUCAUCGCUAUACCUAUGGCUCGAGAGACCACUUCUAGACCUUUAUCAGGUUUUGCUGGAACAUGCUCUAUCCUGCACACUGGAUGCCCUGAAAUUGAGGCAGUAUUUGCCCAGCUCCCGCGUGAUGGUGUCUCAAACCUUACUGAUCGCGGGAGCUGCAGCAUAUAGAUAAAAAAGUACUUUUUUCACUUGCAUUGUUGUACUUCAUAUUAAGUAGCAGCAACUUUUGCAGUCCUGUUUUCAAUUUCAGCUGCAACAUUUUGUUCUCUUUAUUUAUAAGCAAGCAGAUUCAUCAAGUUUAAGCCUGAACCAGUGAAAGAAUGACAAUGUUGUCUUCGACACCAAGGUGAGGAUGAGCACCAUCAUGCUACUGAUCAUGAGCAACAUAUAUAUGUAAUCGUCGUGAUCCUGAAAUAUGUUCACAAUGAUAUUGAAGUUUGCAGUACGUUCAAUGGAUUCAAGAGU